ensembl:lncRNA
AACCUGCGCGGGGAGACCCCAAUGGAUUUCUAGUCCAUCGCCUUAAACUCUCGGCCACAACAACGGAUAAAAACUGGAUAAAUUGACUUUUGCCAAUAUCAGACACUGGCUAAGUGGCGUAUAUAAAGACUGCCAUGUGAAUAAUUCUGGAACACACAUAAUAAGGUAAGGGUGUGGUUUUUACUUGGUAAAUUACCGUUGGUGCUUUUUUCCCUUGUUGGACGGUAUAUUUGAUGGCUCCUCUUAUCAUGACAUUUCCCCACGACUUACCUGAAACACUUAUUAAAUUUGCGCAUAAUAUCUAAUGGAGAUGCUGGGGAUUGACCCCAGGGCCUCAUACAUGCUAAGCAUGCGCUCUACCACUGAGCUACAUCCCCUGCACAAAUUCCAAAAAUUACUUUGUUUUUGCGUAUAUAAAGGAAGAAGUGUGAGAAAAAAACAAUGAAUGGAGACGUUUCCAAGGGAAAACCUACUAUGACUGGCAAAAAGCUAACUUGGGAAGACUGAAUGCAUCACUUUAAAUAAAAAUCCUUGUGAAUUUGGAGCUUCAAAGUGGGACUGCACACGUUAAGGUAUGAAUAUGAAAAAAUGACUCUGCGGUGGGACCAGAAAGCUCUACAGUCAACUUCGUUGCUGGCAGGACUCGAACCUGCGCGGGGAGACCCCAAUGGAUUUCUAGUCCAUCGCCUUAACCUCUCGGCCACAACAACACAUAAAAACUAAAAAUAAAUUGAAUUUUGCUAAUAUCAGACACUGGCUAAGUGGCUUAUACAAAGACUGCCAUGUGAAUAAUUCUGGAAGUGGCGUAUAUAAAGACUGCCAUGUGAAUAAUUCUGGAACACACAUAAUAAGGUAAGGGUGUGGUUUUUACUUGGUAAAUUACCGUUGGUGCUUUUUUCCCUUGUUGGACGGUAUAUUUGAUGGCUCCUCUUAUCAUGACAUUUCCCCACGACUUACCUGAAAACCUUUUAAAUUUGCGCAUAAUAUCUAAUGGAGAUGCCGGGGAUUGAACCCAGGACCUCAUACAUGCAAAGCAUGCGCUCUACCACUGAGCUACAUCCCCUGCACAACUGCCAAAAAUUACUUUGUUUUCGCGUAUAUAAAGGAAGAAGUGUGAGAAAAAAACAAUGAAUGGAGACGUUUCCAAGGGAAAACCUACUAUGACUGGCAAAAAGCUAACUUGGGAAGACUG